rnacentral:rRNA from 1 species
CAGCGCCACAAGUGGGGGCCAUGUUUAUUGGGCCUAAAGCGUUCGUGGCUGGUUCUGUAAAUCUUUUGUGAAAUCGUUGGGCUUAACCUAACGGCGUGCAGAAGAAACUGCACAACUUGGGACCGGGAGGGGUUAGAAGUAUUUCUGGGGGAGCGGUAAAAUGCAGUAAUCCCAGGAGGACUACCUGUGGCGAAGGCGUCUAACCAGAACGGGUCCGACAGUGAGGAACGAAAGCCAGGGGAGCAAACCGGAUUAGAUACCCGAGUAGUCC